CUCUGCAUCCAUCCUGCUGAGAACCACCUCCAUCACUCAGUAAAAUCCCCACGUUUACCAUCCUUCAAGUCCGUGUGACGCGAUUCUUCCUGGAUGCUGGAUAAGGGCCCAGGCAACUCUAACAGCAGGUAGAAGACAUGACACAGCAUGGAUGAAUUGUCUGCAUUGGUAUUGACCAAAGUCAGUGACACAAAGAACAGUGGAGCAACUGUGGAAGCCACUUGUGGAGAUGGCGAAACCCCACUCUCACCAAGGACCGCUCACAUGUAGACUGUUACAUGAAAGGAGACAGCAUUCAUCUUAUUUCAACCACUGUAUUUUAGGAGUCCUUUAUUCAG
rnacentral:lncRNA from 10 species